rnacentral:rRNA from 1 species
GACGAACGCUGGCGGCGUGCUUAACACAUGCAAGUCGAACGAUGAAGCCGAAGCUUGCUCCGGUGGAUUAGUGGAGAACGGGUGAGUGACACGUGAGUAACCUGCCCUCGUCUCUGGGGUAACUGCUAGAAACGGUAGGUAAUACCGGAAACGACCCUCGGCCGCAUGUCCAGGGGGCGGAGAGAAUUUCGGUAAAGGAUGGACGCGCGGCCUAUCAGCUAGUUGGUGAGGUAACGGGUCACCAAGGCGACGACCGGUAGCCGGCCUGGGAGGGGGGGCGGCUCCACUGGGCCUGAGACACGGCCCAGACUCCUACGGGAGGCAGCAGUGGGGAAUAUUGCACAAUGGGCGCAAGCCUGAUGCAGCCACGCCGCGUGAGGGAUGACGGCCUUGGGGUUGUAAACCUCUUUUAGUAGGGAAGAAGCGAAAGUGACGGUACCUGCAGAAAAAGCACCGGCUAACUACGUGCCAGCAGCCGCCGUAA